ensembl:lncRNA
AAUGCCUUCUUUACAUCUGCCUUUAAUAGGCAGAUCAGUUAUCCUCAGAGCACUUUAUGCCCUAAUCUGGAAGUCUGGGCUGGUUCACAGCAUACACCCCUGGCGAUUCAGGUGGAGACAGAGAGCUCCUCCUCCAUCUGGAGUGUCACAAGUCCAAGGGAUCAGAUGGGAUCCACCCUCGGGUGCUGAGGGAGUUGGUGGGGGUGGUUGCCGAGCCACUCUCUGCCAUCUACCGUCACUUCUGGUUAUCUGGAGAGGUCCCAGAGGAUUGGAGGCUUGUCGAUGCGACUCCCAUCUACAAGAAGGGCUGUAAGAAGGAUCUGGGGAACUACAGGCCGGUCAGCCUGACCUCAGUACCAGGGAAAGCCACUGUUGGUGAGGCAAAGAAAAGUCAUGCCUGAGAAUCUUCCUCCUCUCUCCAGGUAGAGGAGUAGAAAUGAAUUUUGGGAAGAAAAUGACAACAACAACAAAAAUCACCACCAAUUUAUCUUUCUGAGGAGUACUUAAACAUUUGAAUAGGAAAAAGGAACAGUGAAAAGAAGAAAUUUCGAGAAAUACCGAUAUCCUCUAAGUGUAUAUCUUGGAAAGACUAUAGAGAGACUACUCUUAUAGUCAACGUUUUAUUAUAAGGCAUAACUGAUCCCUGUCCUCAGAGCUGCUCACUGUUUCUUAGUCCAGACUUACAAAAGGAAAAAAAGAAGAAAAAAAAGGAGACAUUGUCAUCUGCUUCCCCAGAGCAUUAGCUUAAAGGAACAGCUAAUAGUGAGGGCGUACACUCAUGGAUUACAAUUAGGAGUAACUGUGGAAGGAACAGCCUCUACCAGCAACCUCUCGGCAGUCUGUAUAAACAGAUGAUGACUACCUCUCAAUCAGCCACCAACUGAGAAGCUGCUUGUUGGAGGACCAGAGGAUGCUGCAUGGGAUACACAGAUUUUGGCUGACACUGUCACAGAGCAGCUUAAUGACUCCCACAGUACGAUGUACUAGGCUUAUAUUGAGCCUAGUUGAAAGCUUAUCAGAGGUGAACGUUGGUGGUGUGGCGGCUGAACUUUCCCACCAAUAUUCCAUUACAUUCUGUUGCUGUGUGACAGAUGGCAUCAGAGGAGCAGUCUGAAAAAAAUGGCAUCUAACAUGGAAGUGCAUAUGUAGCAAAGAACUUCAGAAAGAUGUAUGCCUGCUGCCCAGCUGGUUUGCAUAACAAACUUUUUGGAAUCCACAGAGACUUGCAUUCACAAUGAAGAAAUGAAUCUGUGAACUUUGUCUAUAAUCCAGGAGAAUGGGUGGUGUGAUUCCAUUUUGUACAUGGCCUCCUGGCCUUGUUGAAUUUUCACUAAUUGAAAGAAGAACAUCAAGAACAUUUUCCAAGAGAGGAAUUUGGUAUCCGUG